GACCAAACUACGUAGGUCCCCCAUCUGCCUUGGAAUGAAUAAAUCUGAUUUUCUACUUGAAAACAAAGAAUAGUAUUUAAAAUACAUCAAAGAAAAGUAUCUUUGAUUUUGCAGAGGCCUCAUUUGCAGUCAUGCAUCACUUGAAAAGGCUUGUGAAAGGCUUCAAAAAGAACAUGAAUUAAGAACGCAACACACGAAAGAGUUACACCAACAAGCAAUAAUUAUUAUUAUUAUUAAUUUAAAGCUGUAUUAUGACAUAUUGCCUAAGCAAUUGUCAAAUAAAAAUGAAUAUAUGUGAAGAAAUA